rnacentral:rRNA from 1 species
GACGAACGCUGGCGGCGGGCUUAACACAUGCAAGUCGAACGGAAGGGCCCUGCUUUCGUGUGGUGCUCGAGUGGGGAAGGGGUGAGUAACACGUGAGUAAGCUUCCCUGUACGGUGGGAUAACUGCAGGCGGGUGCUGCUAAUACCGGAGAGGAGCGCCUGCUGCAUGGUGGUGUUUGGACAGCUUCGGCGGGGGGGGCUGGACGCGCGGCUUAUCAGCUUGUGGGUUGGGUAGUGGCUUACCCAGGCUUCGAUUGGUCGCCUGCCUGGGAGCGUGGCCGGGCACCUUGGGACUACGAUACGGCGCAGACUGCUACGUGAGGCAGUAGUGGGGAAUCUUGCACAACGGGCGCACGUCUGUGGAGACAGCGCUGGGUGUGUGAUGACGGCCUUGGGGUUGUAAAGCGCUGUCGGUUGUGACGAAGCGGGAGUGACGUUAACGGGUAAAGAAGCACCGGCUAACUACGUG